rnacentral:rRNA from 1 species
GAUGAACGCUGGCGGCGUGCCUAAUACAUGCAAGUCGAGCGAACAGACGAGGAGCUUGCUCCUCUGACAUUAGCGGCGGACGGGUGAGUAACACGUGGAUAACCUACCUAUAAGACUGGGAUAACUUCGGGAAACCGGAGCUAAUACCGGAUAAUAUAUUGAACCGCAUGGUUCAAUAGUGAAAGACGGUUUUGCUGUCACUUAUAGAUGGAUCCGCGCCGCAUUAGCUAGUUGGUAAGGUAACGGCUUACCAAGGCAACGAUGCGUAGCCGACCUGAGAGGGUGAUCGGCCACACUGGAACUGAGACACGGUCCAGACUCCUACGGGAGGCAGCAGUAGGGAAUCUUCCGCAAUGGGCGAAAGCCUGACGGAGCAACGCCGCGUGAGUGAUGAAGGUCUUCGGAUCGUAAAACUCUGUUAUUAGGGAAGAACAAAUGUGUAAGUAACUAUGCACGCCUUGACGGUACCUAAUCAGAAAGCCACGGCUAACUACGUG